GCGCGUUCUCUUUGCCUGCAGCUCCUGUGGCUUUGGAGGCGCACUGACUGGUGAGUAAACGUGGACGUGUUUACUCUGGUUCACUGUUUCUUCGCAGCCAGUUCAGAUUCAUGAAAUGUGACUUGUUGGAUUGAAUUUGUACAGGAAAGUUGGAUUAACGUGACUGGUGGUCAUCGUUGUUCGUCUAUUUGAUGCGACGAUGUGAUGCAGAGUGGAACGGAUCGAAUUGGGAAUAAAACUUGAAUUACGCGCUGGCACGUCAAGUGUUUCAGCGCCUGGAAAUAGGCCGUUUCUCUCUGUCAUGGUGUCAAUACACGCGGAGAGUUCACCUGGAGCACGAUGGACGAAAGAAAGAGACUUUUCUUCUCUCUUUUCUUCGCAGCACAGCUCUGUGUGAGCUCAACACAAGUCCUCAGAAUCGGGGGAAUUUUCGAGACCCGGGAGAGUGAGUUAGUGAGUACGGAUGAGCUGGCAUUCAAGUUUGCUGUAAAUAACAUAAACCGCAACAAGACCCUGAUUCCCAACACCACUCUCACCUACGACAUUCAGAGGAUCAACCUCUUUGAUGGCUUUGAGGCUUCGAGGAGAGUGUGUGACCAGCUAGCUCUCGGGGUGGUCGCAGUGUUUGGACCUUCUCACAGCUCCUCGGUCAGUGCUGUUCAGUCCAUCUGCAACGCUCUAGAGGUCCCUCACAUUCAGACCCGCUGGAAACACCCGUCAGUGGACAACAAAGACACUUUCUUCAUCAACCUAUAUCCAGAGUACACGGCCAUUGCCAGGGCCAUUCUGGACGUGGUCACUUUCUUCAAAUGGCGGAAGCUGACGGUGGUCUAUGAGGACAGCACGGGUCUGAUGCGGAUGCAAGAGCUGAUCAAGGCUCCGGCAAAGUUCAACCUGAAGAUCAAGAUCCGCCAGCUGACCCCAGGUAACCAAGAUGCCCGCCCACUGCUCAAGGAACUGAAGAAAGACAAGGAAUUUUUUAUACUCUUUGACUGCUCCUAUCGCAUGGCUUCAGAGCUACUCAAGCAGCUUUCAUCAAUGGGAAUGAUGACCGAGUACUACCAUUUCUUCUUCACAACUUUGGAUCUGUUUGCCUUGGAUUUGGAGCCGUACCGCUACAGUGGGGUAAACAUGACAGGCUUCAGACUGCUGAACGUAGAUGACCCGUGGGUAGCCUCCACGAUGGACAAAUGGGCCAUGGAAAGGCUGCAGGGUCCCAAACAAGAGAGUGGCCUGAUGGAUGGAAUCAUGACUACAGACGCAGCCUUGAUGUAUGAUGCAGUGUUCAUGGUUGCCGUUGCUUCACAGCGGGCCACUCAGAUGACCGUCAGCUCCCUGCAGUGUCACCGCCACAAACCCUGGCGCUUUGGUCCCCGCUUCAUGAACCUCUUCAAAGAGGCACAGUGGGAUGGACUGACAGGGCACAUUGUUCUUAAUAAGACAGAUGGCCUGAGGAGAGACUUUGAUUUGGACAUAAUCAGCCUCAAAGAGGACGGCACUGCCAGGGGUAUUGUGGAGGGCGGGAGUCGCCUCACGAAAAGGUGGAUCAAGAUUGCUGUGUGGAACUCAUACAGGGGUAUGAACCUGACGGAGAAGUCCAGCCGAGACAAGAAUAACAAUGUGACAGACUCUCUGGCUAACAGGACUCUUAUUGUCACCACGAUACUGGAAAAUCCAUAUGUGAUGCAGAGAAAGUCAGACAAGGAGCUUAUUGGAAAUGAUCGUUUUGAGGGUUACUGUCUGGACCUUUUGAAAGAGCUCUCCAACAUCUUGGGUUUCACGUAUGAAGUCAGACUGGUGGCUGAUGGGAAAUACGGAGCCCAGAAUGACAAGGGAGAGUGGAAUGGGAUGGUGCGGGAGCUGAUAGACCACGUUGCAGACCUUGCUGUGGCCCCCUUGACCAUCACAUACGUUCGAGAGAAAGUCAUUGACUUCUCCAAGCCCUUUAUGACUUUAGGUAUCAGCAUCCUCUACCGAAAACCUAAUGGCACCAAUCCGGGUGUGUUCUCCUUCCUGAAUCCCCUGUCUCCGGACAUCUGGAUGUACGUGCUGUUAGCCUGCACAGGAGUUAGCUGUGUGCUCUUUGUGAUUGCCAGGUUUACUCCGUACGAGUGGUACAACCCACAUCCAUGUAACCCGUCCUCGACUCUAAUACAGAACAAUUUCACUUUACUCAACAGUUUCUGGUUUGGUGUCGGAGCUCUCAUGCGGCAAGGCUCGGAGUUGAUGCCUAAGGCUCUGUCCACUCGUAUAGUUGGGGGGAUCUGGUGGUUCUUUACCUUAAUCAUCAUCUCUUCAUACACGGCCAACUUGGCUGCCUUCCUCACUGUGGAACGAAUGGACGCGCCAAUCGACUCAGCAGACGACCUGGCCAAGCAGACCAGGAUUGAAUAUGGGGCAGUAAGGGACGGAUCCACCAUGACCUUCUUUAAGAAAUCAAAGAUCUCCACCUAUGAGAAAAUGUGGGCGUUUAUGAGCAGCAGGAAGAACACUGCAUUGGUUAAGAACAACAGGGAAGGCAUCACUCGGGUUCUGACGACAGACUACGCCAUGCUGAUGGAGUCCACUAGCAUUGAGUACAUCAGCCAGAGAAAUUGCAACCUCACACAGAUCGGAGGUCUCAUUGACUCCAAGGGCUACGGAGUGGGAACACCUAUCGGGUCUCCAUACAGGGAUAAAGUGACCAUUGCCAUCCUUCAGCUGCAGGAGGAAGGGAAGCUGCACAUGAUGAAGGAGAAGUGGUGGAGAGGCAAUGGCUGCCCAGAGGAGGACAACAAGGAGGCCAAUGCUUUGGGCGUGGAAAACAUUGGCGGUAUCUUUAUCGUCCUCGCUGCUGGUCUGGUUCUCUCUGUGUUUGUCGCCAUUGGAGAGUUCAUCUACAAGGCUCGCAGGAACGCCGACAUAGAGGAGGCCUUCUGUUUCUUUUAUGGGGUGCAGUCCCGUCAGUUCCAGCGGCGUGGCUCCACCUCCUCUUCUGGCACCUCCUUAUCUACUGAUCUGGAAAGCGGCCGGCUACUGGGGAAUGACACAGAGUAGCCAUGGCAGCACAUUUACAACACAUACACACUAGAUGAUAGGAACUAAGAAGAACGAUUCAUGAAGAGAAUGCAUCUCUCUUCCAUUGCGUGUCUUUUAGCGCCCUGAUGGAGGAGUUGGGUAUCUCCCUGCAGUGUUACAAAGGCAUCCGGAUGAGAUUGCGACCCCACAGUGGAGCAAGGACAGCUUGCAUCCUUUGUCAACCCAAACGCACCACAAAGAGGGAAAGAGCAAGAAGGGACUCCAGCACGUGAGCCUUGGAUCAAAAAACUGAUGGAACUUGGUGCAAAGACUUCUGCUUGGUCGCUCUCAAAUCAUCAGAUUUGUUUGUGGGCCACAGAAUUAUAAGAAGUUGUUCCCUUAUCACCCUUGUCUUUAUGUGACUGCAUUAUACAUAAAUCAUUCUACUGUA